AACGAACGCUGGCGGCAGGCUUAACACAUGCAAGUCGAACGGAUCCUUCGGGAUUAGUGGCAGACGGGUGAGUAACGCGUGGGAACGUACCCUUUGCUACGGAAUAACUCAGGGAAACUUGAGCUAAUACCGUAUGUGCCCUACGGGGGAAAGAUUUAUCGGCAAAGGAUCGGCCCGCGUUGGAUUAGCUAGUUGGUGGGGUAAUGGCCUACCAAGGCGACGAUCCAUAGCUGGUCUGAGAGGAUGAUCAGCCACACUGGGACUGAGACACGGCCCAGACUCCUACGGGAGGCAGCAGUGGGGAAUAUUGGACAAUGGGCGCAAGCCUGAUCCAGCCAUGACGCGUGAGUGAUGAAGGUCUUAGGAUUGUAAAGCUCUUUCACCGGUGAAGAUAAUGACGGUAGCCGGAGAAGAAGCCCCGGCUAACUUCGUG
rnacentral:rRNA from 1 species